UUACAAGAGGUUUAAUAGGUACAAGAGGUUAAGAGGAGAGGAUGCGCGGGGGCGUCGGUGCAACUCGUCAUCAAACUAUGAGGCCCAUGAUCAGGCCCACCGCGCCCAAAGUCUAUCUACUGUCGGUGUGUUACCCAAAUUGUGCUGUCACGAAUGACCUUCCCUUGCUACGGCAAUCAGGUUAAAGUGACAUUAAUAGAAUUAAGCACAGCUUCGAACCUAUGGCUCAAUACUAGUUCGACCGGACUUUGGUAUAACGCUACGUUCGUUGGAUUAUGCCUGAACGCCUCUAAGGUCGUAACCAAACCGAGCUGAUAGUGUCCCCUUAUAGGUCGUCGGUGAUCAUGUGGCAAAAAA